GUGGCGCAAGCAACCGCCGGAUGCGAAGGUUUCAGCUGCAGUACCCUUCUAUACAUAUGAUACGUGUAUUUUCCCGAUUUUCCUACUACUUUUCGCUGUGAUUUGUAGCUGCAUGCUGCCGGUGCACUGUCACGCGGUCUCGCUGUCUGGCCGCGGAGGUACGACGCACAGGCUAUCAAGAUGAGCAAACCUAAGUAUCUGUUUCGUUUUGAGAGUAAACCUUUUCUUAAAAGUGCUAUUGAGUGUCUCCAUUGUACAAUUGUUCAUUCGUGUCCGUUAUCUCGUCAAAAUGAACGUCGCCAUCGCCGAGUUAACGUGACAACUACCAAAUCCCCGGAUGGAACCUGCUGGGCAGUCCUUGUAGUCAUGGGGAUCAUGAAACGAGCGCGGGGAUUGGAUGCCGCCAGGGAGAUCGCCUUUCUGGACUCAACUGCAUCAUGCGACGAGUCCCAGAGCUCAGGGAUGGUGGUGCUGGCAGCAACCCCAGCCAGUGCCAUACCCCCGGCUGUACUGCUGCAUAGUUCUCAAAGCACUGAGAGGCACCCAAAGCAUUCAUGACUGAUAAUUCUGCAGUGGAAAAAGCUACUCUGCAAACCACCUGGCCCGUGGCAACCCAACUUCUGUGCCAUGUUCAUGCUGCUCAAGCAGAAUGGCGCUGGCUCCAGGCAUCGCGCAACAACGUCAGCUAAGAUGAAAGGCGGGAACUAAUGUCUAAAUUACAAAAGGUAGAUGCAAAUUUACUGUGUGUUCUUAUCAUGUUCUGAUGCAAUCCCUGCUAUCACUUGUUACGGCUGCAUGAACUUUUGUAUAAUGGAAAGCCUUCUUGGCAAUACGUUGGCUGCAGUUGUUGAAGAUGCAGUUUUUUCCCUUUUUUGGAAUAAAUUUAAUAAAAAGAGAAUGAUUUGGCUGCAAAGAGUGCCUCACACAAAUAGGUCAGUUAGUUUAUGUCCCUUUAUAACUAUGGGGAAAAAAAGUUUCUGGUGAAAGGUGUAGCUCAUUCAUCCAUAAAAUGAACAUACUUCCAA